GUGGGGAAUAUUCCGCAAUGGACGAAAGUCUGACGGAGCAACGCCGCGUGAGUGAUGAAGGUUUUCGGACUGUAAAGCUCUGUUGUUUAGGACGAAAGUGCCUGUUGCGAACAGUUACAGGUAUUGACGGUACUAAACGAGGAAGCCACGGCUAACUACGUGCCAGCAGCCGCGGUAAUACGUAGGUGGCAAGCGUUGGCCGGAAUUAUUGGGCGUAAAGAGCAUGUAGGCGGAGAUUUAAGUCUGUUGUGAAAAUGCGGGGCUCAACCCCGUAUUGCGAUGGAAACUGAAUUUCUUGAGUGCAGGAGAGGAAAGGGGAAUUCCCAGUGUAGCGGUGAAAUGCGUAGAUAUUGGGAGGAACACCAGUGGCGAAGGCGCCUUUCUGGACUGUGUCUGACGCUGAGAUGCGAAAGCCAGGGUAGCGAACGGGAUUAGAUACCCUAGUAGUCC
rnacentral:rRNA from 1 species